CUUGGGCUUUCAGACUCAGACUGGGAUUUAUACCAUCAGCCCCCUAUUCUCAGACCUCAGACUUCAACUGAAAUACACCUCUGGCUUUCCUGAUUUUCCAACUUGCAGAUGGCAGACUGUGGGACUUCUCAGCUCCAUAACCACGGCCUGCUUAUCCCCAGUCCAUACUUGCUCUCACUGGAUAGCACUCAGGACCAGACAGAGGACAUUUCUCAGAAUCUGCACCACUGGGAUGCCCUAGAGAAAAAGGCUGAAGAAGUUGUCAACCUUGAGAAGCAGGUUGAAGGAGGAGAGGGCCAGGAUGCCGUCUUAAGGAGGCCCAGGGGAAGAGUACAUCAUGAGAAAAACUGGGCUGGAAGAAGCACAAGCUGGAAUCAAGAUUGCCG